rnacentral:lncRNA from 1 species
AACUUGACAGUGCUGACUAGAUGGCUUUACUUCCAUCAGCACUUUGUGUAAACGUGCAGGAAUUUUUACAAGGUCAAAGACAGACUACACAGUAAAUUUUGGCAAGGGUGCAGAGAUGUGUGCUGAAGAGGAGCUUCUCCAGGCUCCUUUUCUCUCCCCGGAGUAGUCAUUUCUCUCAUCGGAGUUGGCUGGAACCAAAGCUCAGUGCUUUGUCUGAUUUGGCACCACCCUGGGGGCAUUUGGCAGUGUCUGGAGACACUUGGUUGUCAGGAUGCGGGACAGUGGAGGCCGGGAUGCUGCCUGACAUCCUGUGACAUGCAGCACGGUGCCCACCUGUACCACCCCACAAAGAAUCCCCCGGCCCCGUGGUCAGCAGCACCACGAUUGUGAGAUCCUAGUCGCAGGGCAUCUUGAACAGCAUCUCCUUUUGACGGCCUGUCUCCCGGCGCAGCGACGUUCUUCUUGGCGCUUGGAUUACAAGUGCUUCUGCAUUCCCACAACGUUUCCUUACAUCUGAGGCUGAAACCUGAGCUGACACGUGUGUGUCAAGCGAUUCGUGGAGCACCUGCGCACAGAGUGGGCCAGUGGUGAGGGGUGGGGACUCUUUUCUCCGUGGUGGAGUAGCAGGCUCUCUGCCUCAACCAGUGGUGCCGAGAGUAAAGUCAUGACCUGUGCCAAUCUCCCUCUUUCCCCCACCUCUCCAGCUCGAUACACAGCUCCUCCGUGUACCCAGUUAUCCAGGCCAGACAGCUCGGGGUCCUCCCCAACACCCUUGCUCCCCCAGCAGCCUCCUCCAAACCUUCGGUCCCGGGUGAGACUGACCACGGGGUCACUUGUCACAGUCUUCUGCUGGCAGCCAGCUCCUCCAGGGCAGGGUCGCGUCUGACUCUGUCAUCUCUGCUUUUCUGGCAUGGCACAGGGCAGAGGCUUCAUCCUGUUUAUCGAUGGAGCGAGCCCAGGCUUCCCGUCGUCAGUGCCACUGUGUCUCACAGUGCCUUCCUCACCCAGGGCAAAGGGCAUUUAGAACCUGACACCUGACAACCUCCCAGGGUCUCCACCGUCUCACACCCACGCGCUCCCUGGAGGCCACUCACUCAGCCCCUUGGUUGGGAACAUAACGAGGAGAUGGCAUUUAAGGAGCCCAGUGAUCUUCGAGCACCUUGAAGGUCAUCUUGCCUGUGCUCCACAGCAGCUCCUUGCCUUGGCCCGAGGCCGAGCUCCCUUCCUCCCCCGUGCACGAUGCACCAGCCACACCCCCGCCCCUCUGAUUCUAGACCAGGCCAAGCUGGACCCCACCCCGGAACCUUUGCACCUGCCAUCCCGAGUUCUGGAAAGCUCCCCUCAUCCUGGCUUUAUGUACCUGCUGCUUCUCAAGACCCGAGGCCUUCCCCAUCCUCCAUGAGGCAUCCUCACUGCCUCCCCACCCACUUGCUCAUCAUGUCACCUGUUUUCCACACAGCCCUUGUUCCCAUCUGGAGGGAAGCGUGUGUUUAGUGUGUAGUCUCCACCCGCCUCCUCCUCAUCCUAAGCCCAGCAGGGGCUCCUCAUCCCGUAUGGUCAUGAUGACAUCCCCAGUACCUAGAAGAUGACAUCCCCAGAACCUAGAAGAACUUUCCAUUUGCAGUGUGCAACAGAAAAAAAAAAAUGAAGUAAUGUGACUCAAGGCCUGCUGUUUAAUCACAGAUAAGCUUCUAGAACAAGCCCUGGAAUGUGCAUUCCUGCCACUGGUUUCAGGAUACUCAUCAGUCCUGAUUAGCCUCCCGGAGGGCCCCAGUUUCCCUCCCGUGAAUGUGAAGUUCCCCAUCUUGGUGGCCUGCCCUUCAGCCAGUGUCCUAGCAAAGCUGGAUGGGGUUGGGCCGGCCCACAGGGGGGACCCCUCCUACCCUUGACACCUCUGUGCU